AAGUCGUAACAAGGUUUCCGUAGGUGAACCUGCGGAAGGAUCAUUAAAAGUGAUUGGUUAUACAUUUCAUGUAUCAAACUGCAUUUAACCCCAUUCCGAGUACCUUUGCCUGUUGGUUUCCCAUGGGGCCAGACCCUAGGUCACUCUUGUGAUGUGAAAACCCAAAGAGAGUCCCCCAUGGGCAGGUAAUCAUUAAAUUCAUGUAUCCAAUGUCUUCUGUCUGAACUGUUUAUAACAAAUGUUAAAA
rnacentral:misc_RNA from 1 species